UAUACACACACACACACACACGAGCUAGGCUGGUAUAUUAUCGGUACCACGGAGGCCUCCGUGCUACCAAGUUGUUUUCAAUGAUGCAGCUUCCAAAUCGACGAUCGGCUCCAUUAGACUUGAUCUACACUAUUGAAAGUAUUUGGAAACUAAAUUUCAUAAUUUUUCGACAUCAUUGGUUAGUGAUCAAAAUGUCUCAAAAUUGACAAUUUUAAUGAUAGAUUUGAUGCGUUUAUGAAUUUAACGGUGUAAAACAAUCCGAAAUUGAUGAAAUUUUAUAGAAAAUUCUUUUCAGUAUUUAGAGUAAGAUCAGUAUCUCUAAUCUUAAAUUCAAGUUUUUAUCAUCAUUUUUUAUAAGAUUUUUAUUUUCAGCCGUUCAUUUUUAGACUACUCGUUUGAUAGGUAAAUGAUGCCGAAAAAUUAUGAAAUUUAGUUUCCAAAUACUUUCAAUAGUGUAGAUCAAGUAUAAAGGAGCCGAUCGUCAAUUUGGAAGCCGCAUCAUUAAAAACAAUUUGGUAGCACGAAUGCCUCCGUGCUACCGAUAGUAUAUCAGCCCAGCUCUAUAUACUCCUAAAAAUUGACUUAUGAUAAAAUCUCUUUUCCCUUUUAUAACGAAUUAAUCUUUUUAUUUAAAUCAGAAUUUUAAUCUAAAUCAUGUUAUUUUUUAUACAAAAAAAGUACGGACCAACUGCCGUUAAAUAUAAAAAUAUAAAAUUAUCAUUUUUUUAGUUUAAGUUAUUACAGUUGAUUUACAUUAUNUGUAAAAAAACAUAAUAACAUACAUUAUAUAAUAAAAAUAGGAAUAAUUCUUUAUAUACCUCUCAAAAUUUCUAAAAUAUUUUAUUUCUUUCUUUUUUUUAUUUUAAAUAUAUCUCUCGUAUAUUUUUUUAUUAUUCAAAAAUAUCCUUAUUGUUAGUGCCCAUUAAAUCAUUCCGGAUUAAACCUGAAUUAAAUUCCAACCAUAAUAAAAAAAAUAAAAAUAUCUAUUUUGUUCUUAAUUUAUGAACAAAUAAGAAAAGUUGGCGAGAGUACGUAGGGUAUACUUGAAAAAGCAAAAGUUAAAAUACUUUUUUGCCCUUAACUUAACGGCAAACAAAAAAAAUUAGUGAUGGUAUGAAGAGUACAUUUAAAAGGACAAAAUGAUAAUUUUACAGAGAUAGCAGUUAUUCCUAACGGUUCACUAACAGAAUUUAACUCUAAAAAUAUAUUUAAAAGAAUUUGAAACCUUAAAAUAAUAUGUUUAAUAGAAUUCCGCUACUAUACUAUCGAUAGUAUCAAGCUUUUGGUAUUAUCGAGUUUUCUGUUAUUAGAAGUACCAUUUGAUUAUUUCUAUCGGUUAAAUUAUACUAUUUAACUAACAAUCCACUCAACCAUAGAGAACAAUUAUCUUCCUAAUUGGAGACUACUAUUAUUCUAGCCGCACAUCCAUUCAUCUAACGGUCGAAAACUCGAUAAUACCAAACACUUAGUACUAUUGACAGUAUAAUAGUAUAAUUUUUCUAAUGGCGUGUUUGGUUCGAAGUCGGAGUCGGAAUUAGAAUCGGAAUCAAAAUGACUCAUUAUCUAAUUCUGUUUGACUUAUCACCUAAAUCGAAAUCGGAAUAAAUUAUUCCCAUUGUCGGUAUUUGGUUCAGGUAGAUAUAAAAAAUGUAAUCAAAUUAAUAUACUAAUAUUAUCUUUAUAAUAUAUUAAUGUAAAUUCAAAUUAAAAAUUAAAAAUUAAAAAUUUACAUCAAAAUUUUGAAAUAAUGUCAAAAUUUUAAAUCUAUUUUUUUAAAAAAAAUUAAACUUUGAAGUUGAGUGGAUAAUUCAAAAUAUGAAACUAAAUUUUGAUUUAUUCAAAUUCAAACUUAAAAUUACAAUUUAAAUUUUAAUUUGAAUCCAUAAAUUUAAUUUAAGUUUGAAAUAAAAUUUGAAUAAAACUUAUAUAAAUUAAAAUUUAAUUUAAAUUCAAAUUCGUAAGUUAGAUUCAAAAUACUUGAUUAAAUUUUAAUUUUUAGUUUAAGUUCAAAUUAAAAUUAAAAAUUAUAUAUUAAUUUUUAAAUUUUAACUCAUAUUUUAAUUAAAAAAGUUGAAAAAAUAAAUUUAAUCCAAAUAAAUAUCCAUUCCAUCUGCAUUUAACUUCUAAUCCGGUUUCUUAAGCCGGAUUGAAAAAGGAGGUGAUUGAGGGAUUCCCAUUCCACUUAGAAAUCGGAAUAGGAAUCGGAAUGAGACUCCCGCGUACCAAAAAUCCACAAAUAGAUUCGUCCAUUUCGAUUCCGAUUUCAGGGUGAAAAAGAAGCGAACCAAACACGCCCUAAUAUUAGUCUCCUAAAAAAUAAAUAAAUAAAUCAAAAAAAUUAAAAAAAUAUAAAUAAUUACUUUUAUAUAUAUAUAUGUAUAUAGAGUCCAGAUAUGGUGCUUGUAAAAGCACAAAGUACUUUGUGCUUGUAAGUUUUUUACUGUUAGAUCUACUUCUCGGAUCAGUUUCAACCAUUAGAUUAUACUAAUCGCAUAUCUCUUAAUCCAAUGGCUAAAAAUGUCCAAGCACUAAUAACUUGGUACUUUUAAAAGCACAGAAGCUCAAUUAUAUAUAUAUAUAUAUAUAUAGAGAGAGAGAGAGAGAGAGAGAGAGUGAGGCUACUAUGCUAUCGGAAGCACGGAGCCUUCCGUGCUUCCAGCUCAUUUUCGAUGUUGCGACUUUCAAAUCGUCGAUCGGUUCCGUUAAACUUGAUCUAAAGUAUUUGAAGUACCUAGAAAAUAAAUUUUAUGAUUUUACGAUAUCAUUUACCUAGUGAACGAAGGGGCUCAAAAUCAACGGCUGAAAAUAAAAAUCUUACAAAAUGUAAUAAUAUGACAUUAAAAUUUUAAAUCAAAGAUAUUGAUCUUGUUUUAUAUAGUAUAAAGAAUUUUCUAUCAAAAUUUNGAUAUAAGUAAAAAAAACUGUCUAUUUCAAAGAUAAGUAUAAAUUCAGGUAUAAAUAAAAACUAGAUCAGUUUUGCGUUUGAAUAAAAAUUAAGUUAUUUUUGGGAAUAAGAAAAAUAACGUUUGGAUAGAUAAGAUGAAAUUAAAAAAAAAAUAGUAGGUAGAUAUAAAUAGAAAAUAAUGAUAUUGCCCUUUAUAUUAUAUUUGAAUUCAAAUUUUUAAAUUUUAUAUUUAAUUUUUUAAAUUUAAAUAUAUAAAUUUUAAAUUUUAAAAAUUCAAAAUUAGAAUUUAAAUUUAAAUUUAAAUUUUUAAAUCUCAAAUUUGAAAAUUCAAAGAUCCAAAUUUUAAAUUUAAGAUUAAAUCUAAAUUUAAAUAUAUAAAAUAUCAAAUUUUAAAUUUAAAAAUUUAAAAUUUAAAAUUUAAAAUUAUAAAAGUUUUAUUUUAAGAUUACAAAUUAUAAAUUUUUAAAUUCUAAAUUUUUUAUUUUUUAAUUUUUAAAAUAUUAAAUAUGAAUGGAAACGGCUGUUCCUACCCCUAUUCCCAUAUAAGGGGUGGGAUAGUUAUUCCACUAAUUUUUUUUUGUGUUUGGGGAUAAGGGUGCGGAUAACCUCUUAUCCCCCUUAUCCCCCCCUCAUAAGAUAAAUUGCACGCUUUAUUCUCAAACUAUAAGUAAGGUGACAUUUUGGUUGUCAUAUUUUAAUUUAUUAUAGUUUCUAGCUCAAACUUUCAAAAUUGUUACAAUUGAGUUCCACUACCGAAUUAGUUGGCCAAAUAUUAGUAAAUUAUUAAUAUAGAAGUGAUGUAAAAGUAUUCUGAUUAAUUAUGUGAUAAUAAUUAAGAUACAAUAUUAUUUUUAUAUCAACGAUAUAUUAAUAUUUAGUC
rnacentral:lncRNA from 1 species